GGCGGGUCUCCCCGCAUUGUACGGUGGUGAACCUGGUCAGGUCCGGAAGGAAGCAGCCACAGCCACUCUAUGCAAGUGCCGGGGGUCGGGCUCGCCGCC
rnacentral:SRP_RNA from 1 species